AAUGUCUUUUGGCCCCAAAACUUUUUUUUUUUUUCGGUUAAAGGAUGGCGCCACGACUAAAAUUCGUUAUUUUCGGUGUCCACUUAUUUCUACAGUUACAAGAUUAGAGCAACCUCUCUUCACGAUCAAACAAAGCAUUCCAAAAAUCAACCGAUAUAUUAAAAAAGGAAACCAAAAUCAAAUAAUUGCUUUUCUCCAGCAAAAAAUGCCCACUCAAGCGCUUACUCUUAACCAGUUUCCCAAUUCUUUCCCGCAUUGUCGACGACAAAACCCCCUUCUUGCCACGUCUUCCAUUUCUUUAAACGUUUCUCGAUCGAAUGAAACUAUGAACAUGCGUUUGUCACGUGAGCGGAAGAGGAGUUCUAUGAUGUCCUUUUCAGCUGAGGAGAGCUCCAGUUUCAGUGUCGAACAAAAGAGAAAUGUGGUGGAACAUAUAUGUCUACUCAAAGCAAAGAAAGAUUUAUCUGAUGAAGAAGAGAACGAUAUGCUUGAUUAUCUUUAUACAUCUCAAUAUCAAAUGGCUGGUAUUGUUGCAGUCUCUCUGGGUCGCAUCUCUAAUAAAAAUGCUGAAAAUUAUACUCAUGCUGUCUUCAUGCGCUUUCAGAGAAAGGAAGGCCUAAUGAAGUUCUAUGACAAUUCUUUUUACUUGAGAGUUCUCAAGGAGCAUGUAAACCCUUACUGCCAUGGAAUGAUUAACGUGGAUUUUGAAUCGGAAGUUGAAGAUGAUAUCCUUCCUAUAUUUCGUAAAGGAGAGGAUUUCAACUUUGGUGUAGAGUUUGUGCUUCUACUAGCAUUUGCUGAGAGUGCAUUUGGUGGUCCUGUAGAAGAGGCAUUGACAUCACUUGAAAAAUUGACUGCUGAUUUGCCAUCUCUAAUUGUCCAAACUACUCAGGGUUCAAAUAUUAAUCCUAGCAGAGAGGAAUACACACAUGGAGUAGUAAUACGGUUUCGAUCACUUGAAGCUUUUGAGAUAUUUUCGAGCAGCUCAGAAUACAAAGAAAUAUGGAGCACCAAAUUUGAACCGAUUGUCAGGAAAAAGCUUCCCAUUCAUUUCUCUGUUGAUCCAGUGGGUAAAGAGAUUAUGUAGCAAGGAUCCAUUGUUUUUGCAGUUUAUUUUCCUGCUCAAAUAAGCUGAGGAAUUACGGAAAGAUACAUGCAUCUUGUAUGAUUCAACAAAUGCUUGCAGCAGUAGAAAACAGUUCCGAUUCAGUGGCCUUCAGCUUUAUGGGAUCAAGUGCAUAGAGUAAAAGGUCAAGAAUUGGGUUUGGUCCUCCUCGAAGAAACUCCAUAAAUUAGAUUGGCAGCAUUUAUGGAGGUUUACCAUGGAAAUUGGGAACUGGAAUUUGUUUUCACAGCCGGUCUCGGAUUAUUCACUUUUCAAAUACUGUGGAUAUAGCGGGAACUCAAGAGCUGGUUCCAAUGAGUAUAUGAUGAUCAACAUGAAAAAUAGCAGACCAAAAGUUCUUGGAGUAGCCAUACUUAAAUGUUUAACAUGUAUGAAAUAUUGGCUCAUAUCCUGUGAUUUACAAUGUACAAAUAAUUUUAUCAAAAGCAUGUGGUCAUUGAAGACAGAAAUGUCCUUGACGGCAGCUGAUGAAAAGUAUAACUGUACCAGAAUCACUGACCAUUUGUACUGUCUGUGUGGCCCUGUAAGUACAAAGUAAUAUUGGUUUCCUUAA